UUAAAGGAAUUGACGGAAGGGCACCACCAGGCGUGGGGGCCUGGGGCUUAAUUUGACUCAACACGGGGAAACUUACCAGGGCCAGAAAAAGCAAGGAUUGACAGGCGGGGGGCCCUUUUUUGUUUUUUUGGGGGGGGGGGGGGGCGAGUACUCAUUGGAGUAGUGUCUGGGCUUUCCACAAUUGUAGCAGUUUUUGUCAUUACUAGAUGAACGCUUCUCUUCAUAU
rnacentral:ncRNA from 1 species